rnacentral:rRNA from 1 species
UAACACGUGGGUAACCUGCCCUGAUGAUUGGGACAACCCGAGGAAACUCGGGCUAAUACCGAAUGUGCCCUCCGGCCUCAAGGCCGCUGGGGAAAGGAAGCUUCGGCCUCCGCAUCGGGAUGGGCCCGCGGCCCAUUAGCUUGUUGGUGAGGUAACGGCUCACCAAGGCAACGAUGGGUAGCUGGUCUGAGAGGACGAUCAGCCACACUGGGACUGAGACACGGCCCAG